UUUGCCUAGAUUCUGCAGCUCAUUUCAUUGUCUCCUUGGGUUGUGGAUAUAUGACUGCUUACUCUUUCAUGAUGCACUCUUUAAACUGUCAUUUCACUGAUGUAGACUUCCAAGAAAAAUAGGUGGCAUCCAAUCCAUGCCCCAUAGGGUAGCACUAUCUGGAUUUAAAAUGCGGAUCUUGAAGGGACUGUCAACCAAUAUUUAAGGACCUAGUCUUUUGUGGCGCAACGCAAAGCUCACUCUCAGUAGUAUUUACAUCUGCAGCGGUUACUUUCAAAAGCAUGUGGAUAUUUAAUAAGCAGAAUUUUUCAAUCUUAACAGCCUCUAAAAAGUAAGAGUCCCUCUUCCAGCAACGCCAAGAAGUGAGAGCGAUGUCAAUACCCCGCCUUGUAAAUUGUGAAAGCCGCCCAUCGUUCUGCUUUCUUGGAAUGCAUCAUGUAACCGCUCAAACAGCAAAGGACAAAGAAGGAAACACACAGGACAGGCGCGGAACUUCAACUGGCCGCCAUAUUUAACAGGGAUAGGCGGCCUAGUUGCGGCCGCCUAUCCCUGUUAAAUAUGUUCUGCUUUCACAGGAGUGAGUGUAACUGUGAUUAACCACCUACAUUUUGAUCUCUUCGACCACUUUUGAAAAUAAACAGCAGGUGUUAUAAACUUGCGUUGUUGUAGAGACAUUUCUUAUAUUUGUGCCGCAUUUUCCCCAAAUACGUGCCUAUGCCAUGGCUGGCUGGCCCCCGUCGUUGUUGUUCUGUCGAUAGAUGAGCCAAGCCAACUCAUCGAAAACAAAGGUGAAGGCAUCACCACUUUUCUGCUCACUGCAAACGAAGGCUUAUCUGCACGUUGUAAGUCAGGAAAACAAGACCAGCAACCGCAUACACUAGUAGAAGGUCACGCAGUGGGCCUCUUAUUCAGCUUCAUGUUUUUGCCGCGUGUGGCCCCAGAGGACAUUUUUCACAACUUUUAGUGAUGAAUUAAAAAUAUAAAUCCAUGUUUAAUGAGAAAAA
rnacentral:lncRNA from 1 species